CAGUCGCACGGUAAUACGGAGGGUCCGAGCGUUAAUCGGAAUUACUGGGCGUAAAGCGUGCGCAGGCGGUUUGUUAAGCGAGAUGUGAAAGCCCUGGGCUCAACCUAGGAAUAGCAUUUCGAACUGGCGAACUAGAGUCUUGUAGAGGGGGGUAGAAUUCCAGGUGUAGCGGUGAAAUGCGUAGAGAUCUGGAGGAAUACCGGUGGCGAAGGCGGCCCCCUGGACAAAGACUGACGCUCAUGCACGAAAGCGUGGGGAUCAAACAGGAUUAGAUACCCCGGUAGUCCCUGUCUCUUAUACC
rnacentral:rRNA from 1 species